rnacentral:rRNA from 1 species
UACGGAGGAUGCAAGCGUUAUCCGGAAUGAUUGGGCGUAAAGCGGCCGCAGGUGGCUAUGUAAGUCUGCUGUUAAAGAGUGAGGCUCAACCUCAUAAGAGCAGUGGAAACUACAUGGCUAGAGUGCGUUCGGGGCAGAGGGAAUUCCUGGUGUAGCGGUGAAAUGCGUAGAUAUCAGGAAGAACACCGGUGGCGAAAGCGCUCUGCUAGGCCGCAACUGACACUGAGGGACGAAAGCUAGGGGAGCGAAUGGG